ACGGCCACAUUUUUUAUUUUUUUUAUCUCCGACUCAACAUUUUAUUCACCAAAGCAACACAAAACUCAGCGAGACGGAAUCUAACUUACACACAUGGCAACAAAGGAGUAUUAGUGAUCAGAUAAAGCUUAUACACCAUAUUAGCGGAACACCAAGAAGCCUAUAUAUAAAAAAAAAUCUACCAACAUAACAAGUUUCAAACGUGUCCUUAUCUACCUUGCAAGUACCGGGUGAGUGAAUGCAGGUGUGUGUGUGUGUGUGUGUGUGUGUGUGUGUGUGUGCAGGUGUGUACAGGUGUAGGUGGUGGGUGGAGAGGUGGAGGAGAUAGAGGAAGGGGGUGUAGUGUAGGGGGUGUAAGGGAUGACUGGGUGGAGAGGUAAAGAGGUGGAGGAGAUAGAGGAAGGGUGUGUAUAGGUGUAGGUGGUGGGGGUGGAGAGGUGGAUGAGUGGGUGUAAGUAGGUGGUGGGACGGAGGAGGAGGAGGUAGAGAAAGGAAGACCAAGUAGGAAGAUCAGGUAAGAAUCUUCACAGGUAAGGUAUAUUCACCAAUUCGUACGCACUCCUCCAAUUAGUACUCAUAUAAGUGAAAAAAAGUAUUGAGCAUGGGUAUGAAAAUUAAGUAGCAGAAAUUGAGCUUGGUUAUGAAAAUUGCGUAAUGUGAAAAUGAAGGUUACUAAUUGAUCUUCAUUUUGCAGGUAAGGUAUAUUCACCAAUUCGUACGCACUCCUCCAAUUCGUACUCAUAUAAGUGAAAAAAAAGUAUUGAGCAUGGGUAUGUAAAUUAAGUAGCAGAAAUUGAGCUUGGUUAUGAAAAUUGCGUAAUGUGAAAAUGAAGGUUACUAAUUGAUCUUCAUUUUGACAGUAUUUGGUUUCCAUUGUUUUAUUAUCACCACGUGCUGUUGAGCUGAAGUGUAUAAAUUAAGUAAGGUCAUAAUAAAGGUUAGUAAUCGAUCUUCAUUUUGACCACGGGAAGGAAAAUAAAGUAAGGUAAAUAUAAAGGUUAGUAAUUGACCUUCAUUUUGACCAUAUUUGAUUUUCAGUCUUUUAGUCCAUCAUUAUAAUUGAGCUUGGGUGUAAAAGUUAAGUAAGGUCAACAUAAAGGUAAGUAAUUGAUCUCCAUUUUGACCAUGAUAAGGAAAAUCAAGUGGGUAAGGUCGAUCUUCAUUCUGACUGUAUUUAUUUUUGUCUUUUACUCUAUCCCUAUCAUUGAGAUUGGUAGUGAAAGCCAAGGUAAGGUAAGGUCAAAAUAAAGGUUAGUAACUGAUCUUCAUUUUGACCAUAAGGAAAUUCAAAUGGGUAAGGUCGAUCCUCAUUUUGACCAUAUUCAAUUUUCAGUCUUUUACUUUAUCCCUAUUACUGAGCGUGGGUGUAAGAGUCGAGGUAAGGUAAGGUCAAAAUAAAGGUUAGUAAUUGAUCUCCAUUUUGACCAUGAUAAGGAAAAUCAAGUGGGUAAGGUCGAUCCUCAUUUUGACCAUAUUUAAUUUUCAGUUUUUUACUUUAUCCCUAUCAUUGAGAUUGGUUGUGAAAGCCAAGGUAAGGUAAGGUCAAAAUAAAGGUUAGUAAUUGAUCUUCAUUCUGACCAUAAGGAAAAUCAAGUGGGUAAGGUCGAUCCUCAUUUUGACCAUAUUUAAUUUUCAGUCUUUUACUUUAUCCCUAUUACUGAGCGUGGGUGUAAGAGUCGAGGUAAGGUAAGGUCAAAAUAAAGGUUAGUAAUUGAUCUCCAUUUUGACCAUGAUAAGGAAAAUCAAAUGGGUAAGGUCGAUUCUCAUUUUGACCAUAUUUAAUUUUCAGUUUUUUACUUUAUCCCUAUCAUUGAGAUUGGUUGUGAAAGCCAAGGUAAGGUAAGGUCAAAAUAAAGGUUAGUAAUUGAUCUUCA